UACGGAGGGACCGAGCGUUGUCCGGAAUCAUUGGGCGUAAAGAGCGUGUAGGCGGCCACUUAAGUCCUGCGUGAAAUCUUGCGGCUCAACCGCAAGCGGUCGUGGGAAACUGGGUGGCUAGAGUGCGGGAGAGGAGAGUGGAAUUCCUGGUGUAGCGGUGGAAUGCGCAGAUAUCAGGAAGAACACCCGUGGCGAAGGCGGCUCUCUGGAACGCAACUGACGCUGAGACGCGAAAGCGUGGGGAGCAAACAGG
rnacentral:rRNA from 1 species